UACGGAGGGUGCGAGCGUUGUCCGGAAUCAUUGGGCGUAAAGGGCGCGUAGGCGGCCACUUCAAGCGUGCGGUGAAAGUCGGGGGCUCAACCCCUGAUCGGCCGUGCGAACUGGGGGGCUGGAGCACUGUAGAGGCAGGCGGAAUUCCGGGUGUAGCGGUGGAAUGCGUAGAGAUCCGGAAGAACACCGGUGGCGAAGGCGGCCUGCUGGGCAGUGGCUGACGCUGAGGCGCGACAGCGUGGGGAGCAACAGG
rnacentral:rRNA from 1 species